ensembl:lncRNA
GAGACAGGCGGGCGCGCGCUAGGCUGACUGAAGAGCGCGGGCGGGCCUGCCGGCUCGAGGUGGGCGGCGACGGCGGCGACCUCCAUCUUCCGGCCCGUGCUCCCGCCGCCUCCUGCCUGCGCCUGUCAGGCCCGCUUGGCUCUCGAGGCCCCUCCCCGCCGAGGCCCUGAGGAAAGCCUCGAGAGCCUUCCAGAACCUUCCAUGGCCUGAGGCGCCUGAGAGAGCUCCCUGCGGCUACCCUGGGUAGACCCCCACCUCGCUGCCACGCCUCACCCCGGGCACUAGGACUCUUCUCCAUCUUCGUCAUCCUGAGAAUGUUCUACAGAAGCGACAGUGCAGCACGGAACCUUUGGAGUUAAUUAAAAGGGAGAUUAUCCUGGCUGGGCCAGCCAGAUCGAAGGAGCCAUUUAGAAGAGAAAGAAGACUGGGUUCUCCCGGAGGCUGCAGAGGCUCUCCUGUGGUCCAUGGGGUAGGAAGAUGCCAUGCGUUAUGCAGCUCCCAGGUAAGGAACUCAGCCAACAACCUGUGAACUUGGAAGAGGCCCCAGCCUCGGAUGCAACACAGUCCCAGGGGACACCUGGAUCACCACCAGGGGACCCUAGCAGAACACCCAGCCACACGUUCCCGGCCUUUGACCCACAGAAACUUUCAGAUGGUGUUGUUUUAAGCUGCCAUUUGUGGUAACCUGCUGCAGUGCAGGCGUCCCUUGGUCCACUGAGGCAGAGUUCCCAAGUUCCCUCUCCCGCCUUCCUCCGUUUCUGUUCUCUCCAGGGCCACCUCCCCCUCUAGUCCCAGCUCAAGUUUCGUGAAACCCUCCCUGGGAGCCCAGCCCAGGGAGCGGGUUCUCCCUGGGAGCCCACGGCUGGUCUGAACCUAAAGCAUGGUGGUCACUGGCACUGUUCCCGUCUGUUAGGUUCUCUCUCCUCCAUAGGGCACGUCCUGCCCACUUGAUGCAGACGUGGUCAGGGCGCUUGCUUUGGCUGAUGAAGUGUGAGCAGAGCACCGUGGCCAGCAUGCAUGUCCCCUCAUCCCCUUUCUGUCCACCCUGGGGACCGGCUCUGCCCCGCCAGCCGGGCCCAGGAGUAAGGAGGAUGGUGAUACACAGAUGAGCGCCACCAGCUCUGGCGGACAGCUGGUGGAUGAGUUCCCGUGGCUGCAAACAGUGACAUCCCUGACCCCACACUUCCGGAGACAUCUGAGAUCGAGGUGUGGGCUGCGCUGGUUCUUUCUGGGGGCUUGAGGGAGAAUCUGCCCCACACCCCUCUCCCCGCUACUGGGGGCUCUGGCAAUCCUUGACUUGUGGACACAUCCUUCCCCUCCCUGCCUCCAUCUUCACAUGGCUUUUUCUCCCUGCCAGGUGUCCCUGUGUCUCCUCUUACAUGGACACCAGCUGUUGGAUUUAGGGCCCACCCUAAUCCAGUACGGCUUCAUCUCAACUAAUUACAUCAGCACAGACCCUAUGUCCAAAUAAGAUCACAUUCUGAGGUUCUGGGUGGACCUGAAUUUGGGGGGGGGGGGAUGAUGUUCAACCAAGUCCCACUAGUGUCUGUGAGAAACGAACCUUAGUUGUUUAUAGAUGCUGAGCUGCGGGGUGUUUGUCACUGCAGCACCACCGUCCGAAGCCUUGCUGAUUUACGCUGUAAUGUAAUUAUUUGUCUACAUACUCGUCUACCCGAGACGCUGACCUCCCACUGACAAGAGACAGUGUGUGUUUCGUUACUGUAUCGUAGAGGAUGGUUGGGGAAAAAAUUAAUUUUACCAGCUGGUAUCAGAACUCAUUUUAGAGACCGACUGGGCUUGUUUAGGAAAAUACCGUAAUUAGUAUUAGGGGACGGUGAGCGAGGCCCUGAGGACGUGAGAUGAAAGGGCCCACAGGGAGACAGCUAAACUCUGCAUGAGAAAAUAGCUGCAUCCUGGAGGAGAGGGAAAGGAGCCACGAGAGGUGGGGACCCGUGGAGAUCAAGAGACAGAGAGACACGGCGGGAGACGGCGGAGCAGGUUGGGGUCAGGGACCUCCGACAUCCCAUUCGCGGGCCUCAAGCCACGAGGCGGGAUUGGCCUGAGCCUUGAGGAGCUGGAACAGCUAAGCUAAAGCAGAGAACUGGCCUGCCCGGCCCAGCCCAGCAGCCUGCUGGGGCCCAGCUGCCCGGCGCCCCGGGCAGCACCUGGAAGGCGCGCGGCACAACCGGGUCCAGCAAAGAUGAAUGCUAGCGUGGUUGCUGGAAGGCGCCCGCGGUUCACAAGAAACCCAAGGAGAGCCAAGCUAAUUAAAACAAGGAGACCCUAAUGUGCCCAGGUCCCCACAGAGCCGAGGCCCAGCUCACCUGGUACUGCCGUCAGCCAGACGUGGGCGCAGGGCCGAACUGGAGGGAGGGCACGUGGGCUAACGUCAUGUUCUUUGGCUCUGUCUGGCUGCCUCAGGCCGGUAUUACUUCCGUGUUGUUCUGUUUUU